rnacentral:rRNA from 1 species
CAUUCAGUUGAGAACUCUAAUGAGACUGCCAGUGAUAAACUGGAGGAAGGUGGGGAUGACGUCAAAUCAUCAUGCCCCUUAUGACCUGGGCUACACACGUGCUACAAUGGCCGGUACAAAGAGUUGCGAAACUGUGAAGUUAAGCUAAUCUCAUAAAGCCGGUCUCAGUUCGGAUUGUAGUCUGCAACUCGACUACAUGAAGUCGGAAUCGCUAGUAAUCGCGAAUCAGAAUGUCGCGGUGAAUACGUUCUCGAGUCUU